CCUGGAAACAAGAAGUGUUUGUUGUUUGAGUCUGGGUGUCUGAUCCUGUUCGCUUAUUAGGGCCGGGAGGCGUCAGUCUGUUCAGAACAACACUGAAGCUGCAGGCUGAAACUCACCACAUAGAGACGAGAAGAAAAUAAAUUUAUCAGCGCAGGUUGCAUCCCAGUCGUCUCCAUCAUGAAGAUCCUGAGUUUGUCUUGGUUUGGAUUCACCGUGUUGACUUUAGUCCAGGCAGUCGCCAUUCCAGUCACAGACGAUGAUGCUGGUCCAACAGGAGACGCUCCAUUCGAUGAUUUCUAUCCUCAUCAUCCACCAACCCAAGGUAA